ensembl:lncRNA novel transcript
GAGUAGCUGGGACUACAGUCACGUACCACCAGUUGAAAAAGAUCAUCUAGCAAAGCCUUUUUUCCCAGCUACAUAUAAGGAAUUUGAAAGUCACAUAAAAUGGUUAAGAAAAUGUGCCAAGAUUACCUCAGUAAUUCUGGUCUGUGUUCUCAGGAGACCCUGGAAAUAAACAAUGUGUCUUCUGUGGCUUCAGCGUCACCUAGUGCAGGCUGCCAUUCAACAAACGCAUUGUCAACAGUCAACCAAAAGAAACCCAUUGGCCACCAUACCCUGAGGACUAACCCUGACACAGAUGCCCUUCCAGAUGCCCUCAAUAGUCUAACUGAUUCCAUCGCCCCAGCCUUGGGGGAGAAGCACUGCUGCCUAUGCACUCCAUUUACAGAAAAACGUUGACCUCUUGGCGAGAAUGCAAAGAAGGGAACGCUUGCUUAUACGCUGUUGGUGAACUGUCACCCCUACAACUCAGCUUGCAACCAGCCCUGGCCACCAGUUUCCCCACACUGAGCUGAAUAUCGGACAUGCCCAUCUCAGACAUUCCAGCCCAUUCUGAAAUUCCACAUCGAUUCACCUGACAAAGUCUGAAGUUCCAGGGCAAUUUAUCUGGAAAAGCUUACCUGGAAUCACGUGUCAUUUCAACCAACAACUGUUGAAGAGGACGUGGCAUUAAAACCAAGGGUAUCAAUUAUUUAUAA